rnacentral:tRNA from 1 species
GGGGCCGUAGGCUAGCUUGGUAGACUGCCGGGCUCGGGCCCCGGUGACCCCGGUUCAAAUCCGGGCGGCCCCACCA